rnacentral:rRNA from 1 species
ACUCAAAUGAAUUGACGGGGACCCGCACAAGCGGUGGAGCGUGUUGUUUAAUCCGACGGUAAGCGUAGAACCUUACCAGGGUUUGACAUCUCGGGAAGGUCUGUGAAAGCAGACUGUGCCUUUUGGAACCCGAUGACAGAUGAUGCAUGGCCGUCGUCAGCUCGUGUCGUGAGAUGUUUGGUUAAGUCCAUCAACGAGCGCAACCCUUAUAGUCAGUUGAAUUGUCUGGCUAGACUGCCCCGGUAACGGGGAGGAAGGAGGGGAUGAUGUCAGGUCGUCAUUUCUCUUACACCCUGGGCUACAAACACGCUACAAUGGCCGGUACAAAGGGCAGCUAAGCUGUGAAGUGGAGCAAAUCCCAUCAAAGCCGGUCUCAGUUCGGAUUGCAGGCUGAAACUCGCCUGCAUGAAGCUGGAAUCGCUAGUAACGGUAGGUCAGCACACUACCGUGAAUACGUUCCCGGGUCUUGUACACACCGCCCGU